ensembl:lncRNA
CGGGGGUUUGUGGCCCUGCCUGCCGCCUCUCCCUGUGCGGACCUCCCUCGGGAUGACCCUUUGAAUCUCCAGUGCCUCGCUCAGCUCCCGCACAGAGUAGGCACACAAUACACAAUUGAGCAGUAAAUCAAUGACCCACACACUGGGUUUGGGAACAGAACCUGUUUAUCUGUGGCUGAACACCAGAUGCCCUGGGGUGGCUUAUUUAAUUGUCAUUUUCUUUGUGAAUUCAUUAUUGUUUUAUUUCAGUGUUGUUUUUCCAAAGAUCCGCUUCUCCCUGAGCCUGCGGAGCCGGCUUUGAACCAGGCUGAUCAAACACCCGGCAGCUGUGUGAGGGGAGAGCUCAGGGCUCGGGGGAGAGGAAGCUGGAGGCAGGCAGAGCCGGAGCCCUGGGAACACAGACAAAACCCUGAAGAAUGCAGCAGUCACAAUGCCGUCCUGACUGUCACAAUGAUGCCCUGACCAUCACAAUGCCGCCCUGUGACGCCACCACAGCCGGGGCGACCAGCUGAGCUUGCAGCCCCAGGACUGGUGCUCCUCUCUUGGGAGGUGCAUGGGGCUCAGAAGGAAUAGGUGCCACGCAACUGUCCCCAAAUCCAGCUGAUUCCUCCCUCCAGGGGCAAAGUGGUGGCAAAGGUGUGGGCUCUGGGCUCAGAUCAGAUGGGUCUGCAUUUCAGUCUUGGUUCUGCUGCUCCUGGCUGUGCGACCUUGGCCUUCCUCUCUCCAAGCUGCGGUCUCCUCGUCUGCAAAGCAGGGACAACAAUGCUUGCUGCAGCCUGCUGUGAGGAUCAGAUGAGGCCGUGCACAAGGAGCGAUCAGCACGGACUGGAGCAGUGUCUCAUCUACACCAUGUCCCCAGACGGAGCACAGAGCCAGCCACCCAGCAGAUGCUUGAGAAAGUUUGCCAGUCCCUGCCCUAGAGGAUGGCGGGGACACAAGAUUGAAGGAACUGGGACCCCUGAAUCUUUAUGUGGACGAAAUUGGUCUGCCAGCCAGGAACAGCCACUCACCUUGGACUCUUUUGUGAGUGAGAGGUGUCCAGCUCAGAUGGCUUUGUCCCCGCAUUUGUAACUGGGCAGAAGCUGGGGCCCGGAUGUUUCUGGUUGGAGGAUCCCGAGAACAACGCCCCCGCCCCCCACCCCACCGCCCAUGCCUUUGCAGUCUCUGAAUUGCACGUGGGGGCAGAGAUGCCUCCUGAGAAAAUCACCCACAGGUUUCACAGGAAGAAUCAUUUGGGGUUGGGAGGGACUGAGACACAUCAAAUAAAAUAUUUUCAAACCCAAGCAAUGCUUAAAUCCCCUUUUAAAAUAAAAAUAUUUUCCAAGAACUCUCCCCCACUUCUGUUGACUCAAGUAAUUUCUGUCAUCGUGUUACUUAAGUAUGUACCAACAUGAAGGCCGGAGGAAAAUCCAUCUGCUUAUGGCUCUUGCACGACUAUGAAAGCAAAACAAAUGGACAAGUUAGAGAAUGGCCA